rnacentral:rRNA from 1 species
UACGAAGGGAGCUAGCGUUGUUCGGAAUUACUGGGCGUAAAGCGCACGUAGGCGGAUUGGAAAGUUGGGGGUGAAAUCCCGGGGCUCAACCCCGGAACUGCCUUCAAAACUCCCAGUCUGGAGGUCGAGAGAGGUGAGUGGAAUUCCGAGUGUAGAGGUGAAAUUCGUAGAUAUUCGGAGGAACACCAGUGGCGAAGGCGGCUCACUGGCUCGAUACUGACGCUGAGGCGCGAAAGCGUGGGGAGCAAACAGG